UUCAGAAUUCAUCAGGUUUGUAACAAGCAGUUUUAUUUCAUUUCAACAAACAUGAUUUAAUCUUGCAUUUCAGGAUGUAAAAAUUUCAUUUUAUUGAAUUUUAGAUUUGUUUGAUUCGAUUGAUAUCUACCAAGAACAGUGAAGUUAGGUAAAGGAAUAAACAAGUUAACUAACAUUUUUAACAUAUAACGUACACAAGAAUCAAACAAAAACUAAAAUACAUUAAUUUCUGUAUUUCUUGAUGCAGUUUGCUGGAGGUUUUGAUGCAGAAACAAUGCAUGCA
rnacentral:misc_RNA from 1 species